GCUGUGUGAAGGAUUACCUCAGAGGGCUGUGGCACUGCUGUACGUGGGAGAGACUGUCCUAGAACUACUGCUGAUGGACCAUUGCCCAGAAACUGCAGUGAACCUUCUGGACUUAUUUGCUCAUGCAGCAGCUGUGGUAGCACACAACGGAGCUGUUAUCUGGAAGAAAAUGAAAGGAAAGUAUUGGCUAGAGGAAGAUGGAAUUAUCUAUGGCAGAACGUUUACCAUGGUAACGCAGAUUAUGGUAGCAGAGCCACUGGCUUUUUUUAUACCUAGGAUCCAGUGGCAGCCAAGG